rnacentral:rRNA from 1 species
CACCACAACGGGUGGAGCCUGCGGUUAAUUGGACUCAACGCCGGGCAGCUCACCGGAUAAGACAGCUGGAUGAUAGCCGGGGCUGAAGACUCUGCUUGACUAGCUGAGAGGAGGUGCAUGGCCGUCGUCAGUUCGUACUGUGAAGCAUCCUGUUAAGUCAGGCAACGAGCGAGACCCACGCCAACAGUUGCCAGCAUGUCCUCCGGGAUGAUGGGGACACUGUUGGGACCGCCUCUGCUAAAGAGGAGGAAGGAAUGGGCAACGGUAGGUCAGCAUGCCCCGAAUUAUCCGGGCUACACGCGGGCUACAAUGGUCAGGACAAUGGGUAUCGACACCGAGAGGUGGAGGCAAUCUCCUAAACCUGUCCUUAGUUCGGAUUGUGGGCUGCAACUCGCCCACAUGAAGCUGGAAUCCGUAGUAAUCGCGUUUCAACAGAACGCGGUGAAUACGUCCCUGCUCCUU